AGAUGAUGGAAAUGCUUAAGGCAAGCUAAGGUAGUGUGAGACCACACCAUUUCUGCUAAGCCAAUAUUCUCUAGAAUGAGCACAAAACAAAUCGAAUAACAGCUAAACAAAUCGAAUAACAGCUUUUGUACAUCAACAUCAAGAAGAAAGACGCUUGAGAGAGAUGGAAAAAUAGAGAUGGGUAUGGGCAAGAGUGGAACAUUCACUUGUCAAAGCACCUUCUAAAUCUAGAUCGGCAGUGAUUUUCCGGAAAGAGAUGUGAUCAUGAACUGAACACCAGCUCACUGGAAACUGUCAUUGGAUGAGAUCAGAUAACAUUCAUGAAAAAAAAAUCACAUUCAGGAAAUACUUUAAGGAAGAGGAAUAUAAAUGUUCUAGAAUUAAUAUGUAAAAUAUAUAUGUACUGAGGUUUGUAAACUGUCCUUUUUUAAUCACACUGAAGACAAAAAGCUUUAAUCGUUCAACAGAAUUUUUUUUAAAAGGCAGUUCUAAAUUAUUCCUAUCUCAAUAACCAAGAGGCUGGUCAAGCAUCAUUGAUUAAGGAAGCGUCUUAGAAAAUGCCUCUGAAUGUUUUCAUAGGAGUCGUGAGCUUUGGUUCUUUAUCUCUACCAUUCAUUUAUUUCACUGUGUAAUUAUUUACAACCACUCAGUUAUUAAGAGAUGUAACACUUCAAACUUUUUACCGAGUCUGUGUUCAGUUUAAUCUGUCCGUACAAGUUAUUACUGACAAAGUGUUUCUGACAUAUACGAUUAGGCCAUCAAGCUGUAUAUUACAGGAAGUACAUCUUUACAUUAUAGGUUCCCAAGCAACAUAGAUUUCCCUUAUCUUUCAGGAAACAGCAUCAAGGAACUUUGAAAAAUGUAGAAAUCUCAUUUUUACCUUGAAUGCUCACAUGUAAUAUAUAGGUUACUAUCAAAUAAAUACUUUUUUCUAAUUCUCCCUAGUAUAUGCAUAGGAAUUUAAUAUACUUUAUAAAUAAGUAUAUAAAAUAUCUCCUAUUUUUUCUAUUUCUUUGCCAUACAUGUUAUCAGAAAUCCAUAUUUUUUUCAUUUCCUUUGCUGACAGGCACUUAUUUUUGUUUUAAAAAAACGUUUCAUUAAACAUAUUUCUAAAUGAUAGUAAGUGGUACUGACAAAAUAAAUAAUAAUUUAAUAGCCUUAGAAAUAAAUGACUAUAUACUUAUACAGGUCGAAGAAACUCAGUAGGGAUAAGUAACUGUUUUAUUUACUAAUGUUGGUUUCAAAAGCACUCAGAUUCUUUUUAGUAGGCUGACAUCUAAAAGUAGUUGCAACUCACCAGUUGUCUUCAACAACCCUUUGCUCCCAGGCUUCCCCCACCAUCACCCUCACCACACACCCUGCCAAUAUCCACAACAGAAAAAUAUUUAAUAUUGAAAUAGCCAAUUGCCCAAGAAUAAACAGAAGCUAAAAUGUACAUGCAAGGAUAUUUAGUGGAAGCCAAACCACAUUCCAUACCUGAGCAGAAAACAUGGACAUAGCGAAUGCUUUUAUUCAUAGAUUCAGAAUUAAGAUCAAAUUAACACAUAUCACUGGAUAUUCAAUGGAGGAUAACACGAGAAUUGAUACAGAUCAGAGUCAACUUCUCUUACCUUCCCUCUAUUAGAAUCACAUACCUAUUUUAGCCAAAUGUUUCUGGCACUAGCCAUCUUUUCACCGUAAACAGGAUUAUGUUUUAAAUGGUUCCGAAAGAACCAAAUUAAGGGAACACUUAGUAUCUGUAACUAAAGUAUUAGUCACUCUGGAGAUUAUGUGUUGCUUUAAGUAUUCACUCCCCGCUGCAUUCAUUACACCCUACUUACUAAAUUUAAUUACACACAACUUUUCAAGAAUUCAUCUUUCAUUGAAAGGGGGGUACCUCUCUACAUUAUAUACAAUAAAAACAAAAGGUAUUGACUUUCUCUAAUCCAUGUAAAUUACAAAUUUCACUGGGAGUCCUACAUCACUAACAGUGGUGUAAACAAAGAUUAAAAAGUACUUCCUAUCCACAUACAAAUGUUUUUUAAAAGUUUUUGCCAUAAAACCUAAGUGUAAUUUAGCAUACCACAGUGCUCUGAAGAUGGGUCAUUGAUGAUGUACCAUUUGUACAUAGGUAAUACACAUGUAAAUCACUAAAUAUUACUUAAGUAUAAGAAGUAUGUUUUUAUCUUUUUUAAAAACAGAAAAAGUGACUCCCUUUCUCAUUCUGUUCUGUUGUAUUGCGUCCAAAAGUUGUGUGUAAUUUUUUUAAGGCCCAGGAAAUGUAAAGAAAUUUGUUGGAAUAUCCGAAUUUCUGUAAAAAAAUAAAAAUAAAAAUAAGAUUUUGUUACUUAAAA